rnacentral:rRNA from 1 species
AUGUCUGUUUGGAGAUAUAAAAAGUCUGGCCUGCCCACUGAUAAAUUUUGAAGGGCCGCGGUAAUUUGACCGUGCAAAGGUAGCAUAAUCGUUAGUUUUUUAAUUGGAAUCUUGUAUGAAUGGUUGAACAAAAGAAUAUCUGUCUCUAUAUUUUUUUUGAAUUUAACUUUUAAGUGAAAAGGCUUAAAUAUUUUAAAAAGACGAUAAGACCCUAUAAAGCUUAAUAAAUUUUUUUAUUUAAUUAAAUUUUUAUAUAAAAAUUAAGUAAUUGAGAUUUAUUUUGUUGGGGCGACAAUAAUAUAAUGUUUAUUAACUGUUUAUACAUAAGACAAAAUAAUAGGUGAUUAAGAUUGUAAAUGAUCCUUCAUAAAGAUUAAAAGUUUAAGUUACUUUAGGGAUAACAGCGUUAUUUUUUUUGAGAGUUCAUAUCGAAAGAAAAGUUUGCGACCUCGAUGUUGAAUUAAAAUUUCUUUAUAAUUGUAGCAGUUAUAAGAGAAGGUCUGUUCGACCUUUAAAUUUUUACAUGAUUUGAGUUCAAACCGGCGUGAGCCAGGUU